rnacentral:rRNA from 1 species
CACGCCGUAAACGAUGUCAACUAGCCGUUGGAAGCCUUGAGCUUUUAGUGGCGCAGCUAACGCAUUAAGUUGACCGCCUGGGGAGUACGGCCGCAAGGUUAAAACUCAAAUGAAUUGACGGGGGCCCGCACAAGCGGUGGAGCAUGUGGUUUAAUUCGAAGCAACGCGAAGAACCUUACCAGGCCUUGACAUCCAAUGAACUUUCCAGAGAUGGAUUGGUGCCUUCGGGAACAUUGAGACAGGUGC